rnacentral:rRNA from 1 species
GAGUUUGAUCGUGGCUCAGAACGAACGCUGGCGGCGUGGUUCAGGCAUGCAAGUCGAGCGAUCCAGCAAUGGAUAGCGGCAGAAGGGUUAGUAACACGUGGGUAACGUACCCUCGAGUCGGGGAUAACACCGCGAAAGCGGUGCUAAUACCCGAUAAAAUUACCGGGUGGCAUCAUUCGGUAAUCAAAGGUAGCUCGCAAGAGCUUCCGAUUGAGGAGCGGCCCGCGGCCUAUCAGCUAGUUGGUGAGGUAAUGGCUCACCAAGGCUUUUGACGGGUAGCUGGUCUUAGAGGACGAUCAGCAACAUUGGGACUGAGAUACUGCCCAGACUCCUACGGGAGGCUGCAGUCGAGGAUCUUUAGCAAUGCCCGAAAGGGUGACUAUGCGACGCCGCGUGGA